GGCAGGCGGGGGAAGCUUUUUUUCCUCUUAAAGGGGCAGGACUUAUAUCCGGGAUUGUGGGGUGAGUUGCAGCAGCGGCAGCUGCACAUGUGGGUUUGUUUAUAAGAACAAGGUGUCCUAGAACCCAGGCAUCGCUUGAGCACGCCCCUUCUCUACCCCUUCCUCCUGGUCUCCCAUCCCGGAAGCUGAGUGUCCUGUCCUGUUCUGGGUGCCGGCGAUGGAACCCGGGCCUCUUGCAUGCUGGCCACACGCUGGACCCUGAGCUGAGCUGCACCCCAGCCCUGGGCGGGUGUCUUGAGAACGCAGCACCCGGAGUCGGAAGGCGAGCAGCGAAGUUUGGCGGUAGCGAGCGGUCGAGCCGGGGGCCCGGGCGCGGAGCAUGCAGGCCGGGCGGGCGCGGGG
rnacentral:lncRNA from 1 species